CCUUAGCAAUCCGCCCCUUCGGGGAGCGGGUUGCUGGCCUCCUAUGUUCCUAACGGUCCUCGUCCGCGAGGGCGGGGAAUCAACCGCUAGGAUCGUUUACUUUGAGGAAAUUAGAGUGUUCAAAGCAGGCGUAACUCGCCUCCGAAUACGUUAGCAUGGGAUAAUGGAAUACGACUUCGGUCUUGUUUCGUUGGUUUCGCUUGGCUGAAGUAAUGAUUGAUAGGGACAGUUGGGGGCAUUAGUAUUUAGUUGUCAGAGGUGAAAUUCUAGGAUUUACUAAAGACUGACCAAUGCGAAAGCAUUUGCCAAGGAUGUUUUCAUUAAUCAAGAACGAAAGUAGGGGGAUCGAAGACGAUCAGAUACCGUCGUAGUCUCUACCGUAAACUAUGCCGACCAGGGAUCCGGAGAGUUUGCAUGGAUGACUCCCCGGGCACCUUGUGAGAAAUCAUAAGUGUUUGGGUUUUGGGGGGAGUAUGGUCGCAAGGCUGAAACUUAAAGGAAUUGACGGAAGGGCACCACCAGGAGUGGAACCUGCGGCUUAAUUUGACUCAACACGGGGAAACUUACGAGGUCAGGACACUGUGAGGAUUGACAGAUUGAUAGCUCUUUU
rnacentral:rRNA from 1 species